GAUGAACGCUGGCGGCGUGCCUAAUACGUGCAAGUCGAGCGAACAGACGAGGAGCUUGCUCCUCUGACGUUAGCGGCGGACGGGUGAGUAACACGUGGAUAACCUACCUAUAAGACUGGGAUAACUUCGGGAAACCGGAGCUAAUACCGGAUAAUAUAUUGAACCGCAUGGUUCAAUAGUGAAAGACGGUUUUGCUGUCACUUAUAGAUCGAUCCGCGCCGCAUUAGCUAGUUGGUAAGGUAACGGCUUACCAAGGCAACGAUGCGUAGCCGACCUGAGAGGGUGAUCGGCCACACUGGAACUGAGACACGGUCCAGACUCCUACGGGAGGCAGCAGUAGGGAAUCUUCCGCAAUGGGCGAAAGCCUGACGGAGCAACGCCGCGGGAGUGAUGAAGGUCUUCGGAUCGUAAAACUCUGUUAUUAGGGAAGAACAAAUGUGUAAGUAACUAUGCACGUCUUGACGGUACCUAAUCAGAAAGCCACGGCUAACUACGUG
rnacentral:rRNA from 1 species